UACGUAGGGGGCAAGCGUUAUCCGGAAUCAUUGGGCGUAAAGCGCGUGUAGGCGGUUCCGUAAGUCCGCUCUGAAAGCCCAGGGCUCAACCCUGGGAGGCGGGUGGAUACUACGGAACUGGAGUACGGAAGAGGAGAUUGGAAUUCCUGGUGUAGCGGUGAAAUGCGCAGAUAUCAGGAAGAACACCCGUGGCGAAGGCGGUUCUCUGGGACGGUACUGACGCUGAGACGCGAAAGCGUGGGGAGCGAACAGG
rnacentral:rRNA from 1 species